AUUGAACGCUGGCGGCAGGCCUAACACAUGCAAGUCGAGCGGAUGAAGGGAGCUUGCUCCUGGAUUCAGCGGCGGACGGGUGAGUAAUGCCUGGGAAUCUGCCUGGUAGUGGGGGAUAACGUCCGGAAACGGGCGCUAAUACCGCAUACGUCCUGAGGGAGAAAGUGGGGGAUCUUCGGACCUCACGCUAUCAGAUGAGCCUAGGUCGGAUUAGCUAGUUGGUGGGGUAAAGGCCUACCAAGGCGACGAUCCGUAACUGGUCUGAGAGGAUGAUCAGUCACACUGGAACUGAGACACGGUCCAGACUCCUACGGGAGGCAGCAGUGGGGAAUAUUGGACAAUGGGCGAAAGCCUGAUCCAGCCAUGCCGCGUGUGUGAAGAAGGUCUUCGGAUUGUAAAGCACUUUAAGUUGGGAGGAAGGGCAGUAAGUUAAUACCUUGCUGUUUUGACGUUACCAACAGAAUAAGCACCGGCUAACUUCGCG
rnacentral:rRNA from 1 species